rnacentral:tRNA from 1 species
AUUUAUAAAGUUUAUAAAACAUUUCAUUUUCAUUGGAAAGAGAGAUUAGGUCUUGUAAAUA